GAAGUUCGAGUUACGGAAGCAGAAUUGGACGUGAUUUGUUCCCUAAACGCUGUUGCCAUCCGUUUUAGUUCAAAAUGUAGACAAAAUGUAGAAAAUUCAAGUUACAGUCGUUCGAGUUAGGGAAGCUCAGCUAUUUUUAAUGUAGGCUAUACAAACAUACACAAAACGAGAAAUCUGAGGAGAAUCAAGAUCGUCCAUCAUUUUUUGAGCCCUUAUCAGUGCUUCCUUGGUCCGUUCAACCUUGUGGAGGGCUGCAUUGGACUUAAUAAUGAGAAGAGUGCACAGAAAAUUGCAUAUCAAGUUAUUACAGUUCAUACAUAUGGCUAUCAUUACAAUAUAAGUAAUGGAAGAAGCCUUAUCUUCCAAGCCCUUUCUAGCUGGAAAGCAGUGUUCAUCAAAGCGAUUUGAUUUCAGAUGAGUGUAACCAAUUUGAUGAAAUAGAUAGCAUUUCAUUAAUGAUGUCACCUCAGACAUUUUUUCAAUAAAACCACGUCAAUCCAUGACUUGUUCUGAACUUUA